rnacentral:pre_miRNA from 1 species
AGUGCAAUAGCUGGGUCAUAUGAUGGUUUCAUUUCUAGCUUUCUGAGAAAUUUGCACACUGCCUUCUAAAGUGGUUGUACUAAUUUGCAGUGCCACCAGCAAU